rnacentral:rRNA from 1 species
GACGAACGCUGGCGGCGUGCCUAAUACAUGCAAGUAGAACGCUGAAGGAGGAGCUUGCUUCUCUGGAUGAGUUGCGAACGGGUGAGUAACGCGUAGGUAACCUGCCUGGUAGCGGGGGAUAACUAUUGGAAACGAUAGCUAAUACCGCAUAAUAGUAGAUGUUGCAUGACAUUUGCUUAAAAGGUGCAAUUGCAUCACUACCAGAUGGACCUGCGUUGUAUUAGCUAGUUGGUGGGGUAACGGCUCACCAAGGCGACGAUACAUAGCCGACCUGAGAGGGUGAUCGGCCACACUGGGACUGAGACACGGCCCAGACUCCUACGGGAGGCAGCAGUAGGGAAUCUUCGGCAAUGGACGGAAGUCUGACCGAGCAACGCCGCGUGAGUGAAGAAGGUUUUCGGAUCGUAAAGCUCUGUUGUAAGAGAAGAACGAGUGUGAGA